AACGUAGGAGACAAACGUUAUCCGGAGUUACUGGGCGUAAAGGGCGCGUAGGCGGCGCGAUAAGUUGGGCGUGAAAGGCCCGGGCUCAACCCGGGGACUGCGCUUGAUACUGUCGCGCUGUGAGUCCGGGAGAGGAUGGCGGAAUUCCCAGUGUAGAGGUGAAAUUCGUAGAUAUUGGGAAGAACACCGGUGGCGAAGGCGGCCAUCUGGACCGGCACUGACGCUAAGGCGCGAAAGCGUGGGGAGCAAACAGG
rnacentral:rRNA from 1 species